rnacentral:rRNA from 1 species
AGAGCUCAAAUUUAAAAUCUGGCUGUCUCUGGCAGUCCGAGUUGUAAUUUAGAGAAGUGUUACCCGCGUUGGACCGUGUAUAAGUCUCCUGGAACGGAGUAUCAUAGAGGGUGAUAAUCCCGUCUUUGACACGGACUACCAAGGCAUUGUGGUACGCUCUCGAAGAGUCGAGUUGUUUGGGAAUGCAGCUCUAAAUGGGUGGUAAAUUCCAUCUAAAGCUAAAUAUUGGCGAGAGACCGAUAGCGAA